UGUUUUUCGAGGAAUUAUUGAUGUUUUUACAUUUCUACUGCGCAUCAAAGUAGAAAAGUGCAUAAAUUACGUGGAUAAAUAUCUGAAAUGUAAGUCUUGAACUCCCGAAUAAGGGUUGCACGGUUGCACAUGUUCAAGCAAUAUGUUCAAAGCAUCGAUAUUUUUCGCCAAAAACAUCGGAAACAUCGUUUGUCGGCCAACAAAAUAAUCCAAAUUUUGAAUGUUGUGCAUAUGGUAUACCGAUCAAAUUACAAAAAAGUAAAAUCGAAGAAAUAUCAAAACAUUUUUCAAAAGUGUGGGCGUGGCACUUUUGGGCGGCAUUAGAGUAGGCCCUGCGACUAUGUGUCCGGAAGCUGCAUGCUUAAUCUCAACAGUCUUGCUUUUAUGGUUCCAUGUCAGAUGGACAUGGACAGUUCGACUCCGCUAUUGAUCCUGAUCAAGACUACAUACAUACAUACUUUUAAACGUUUUACUCUAAAAGUAAAAACUAUCAACUUUAUCCAUAAUUACAAAAUUGUAUUUUAUUCAUUAAUUGUUGGUACUACAGUACACCAAGUACUUUUUGAAUUAUGUUCUGUUCGGCAAUUAGCCCGUUUACGAAGAGUAAAAGUUGCAAUAAAUUAGAUUGUUCAAAUUCA